AUAAAGACUGGGAACGGGAAGAGUAGGCGGUCAGCCCUUCAGAGAGCGGAACUAUAAAUUGCUGUGAGUUUCCGCAGGAUGCAGCCACCGAAGUCGCCCCGGAGUUGCCCCUCUGAGCUUGUCUUCAGAUUCAUGAAGCACAGGUUAGGAAGUGGCCGGUUGCAGCCGUUAUCUGCGUGAGUGUCGCGCUAAGUUUCCGGAACCUAUGGGACCGGAACGGUGGUUUAUUUUUUAUUGGCGCGAAACAAAGGUGGUACCGCGAAAGAAUGGCCUUUCGUCCUUUGA
rnacentral:ncRNA from 1 species